rnacentral:piRNA from 1 species
UCAGAAGGUAUGGAUAGUACCCCAUAGC